AUGCCGUUUGAGUGGGUGAUUUUUAGUUUUGCAAUAAAUAAAAAAAUAUGUGCAUGAGCAUGCGCUGCCACGCAGAUGGAAAGUGAUGUGGCAAAAAGUUUGGAGCAUAAAACGUCAUGGGACAGGGGCACCAAACGUUCUCCCCUCGCCGUAAGCAUUCAGGGCCUCCGUCGGUGCUGGAGUUACAAUGUUCAUACACGUGUCGCGCAUAACCUAGACGGCGCGCAUUGGCGGUGGUAGGUCAUUCCAGCACCGCGUGGCUGCGAAUCUAAAGGAUCCCCUGAAAGCCACAGUGCGAUGUUGAGGAGUGAGAAAGGUCUCAACGUAUUGCCGCCUUCCGGACAGAUAACUAUGAAACCAACGGACAGUACCUGGGUCGAGACCAUAAUAGCUCAUCUUGGACAGCA